ACGAGUUUGAUCCUGGCUCAGAACGAACGUUGGCGGCGUGGAUUAGGCAUGCAAGUCGCGCGAGAAGUUUCCUUCGGGAGACGGACAGCGGCGGAAGGGAGAGGAAUAAGUAGAAAUCUGCCCUCGGGACGGGGAUAGCGGCGGGAAACUGCCGGUAAUACCCGAUAACAUCUUUGGAUCAAAUGGUGUGAUUCCGCCUGAGGAUGAGUCUACUUCCUAUUAGCUAGUUGGCGUGGUAAUGGCUCACCAAGGCAAAGAUGGGUAGCGGGCGUGAGAGCGUGGCCCGUCUCACUGGGACUGAGACACUGCCCAGACACCUACGGGUGGCUGCAGUCGAGAAUCUUCCGCAAUGGGCGAAAGCCUGACGGAGCGAUGCCGCGUGCGGGAUGAAGGCCUUCGGGUUGUAAACCGCUGUCAGUGGGGUGGAAAUUGGGAGAGGUUCUCCUCUUCUAUUGACCUAACCGCAGAGGAAGCCACGGCUAACUACGUG
rnacentral:rRNA from 1 species